CUGAUAAACAGCUUUCCCUACAUUGACCAGAUUCAAGAGUGCCUUUUCCAGGAGUGUCUCUUGUGACACAGUGGAAGCCUUUAUGUACUCCAUCUCUCCAAUUCAAUUUUUUGCAAUGAUUUUGGCAAAUAAUGGGACCGGGUACACAGUUGCAUAUAUUCUAUCUGGAUGAUAGAAACACUGUGCAUUGUUGGUCUACUGUACAUCUUCUUUCAACUCCACAUGCAACAAAGAGCAGGAGCAAGUCAUAGCAGGAUGCCUUGGAGAUGAGAAACAGGAGCGAUCAGAGAACUCAAUUUGCAAUUAAAUGGACUGUAAACAAUUCUUACAAGUUCAUCAAAGAAAAUGAUUAAAAAUAAACUUGGUUGCGAGAGGGAUUUUUAUGCACCUA